GCCGCUACCCCUCACUUUCGCUGCUGCGAUCUAGGGUUUCGUCCUUCUCCGCCGCGUAGCUAUGGCGGAUGUCGAAGUUGAUGUCGAUGUGGCCUCCGGGCAGCCGAAGAGGAGGACGUUCAGGAAAUUCAGCUUCAGGGGAGUUGACCUCGACGCUCUUCUUGACAUGAAGAAUGAGGAACUCGUCAAGCUCUUCCAUGCCCG
rnacentral:misc_RNA from 1 species